GUGGGGAAUAUUGGACAAUGGGCGAAAGCCUGAUCCAGCCAUGCCGCGUGUGUGAAGAAGGUCUUCGGAUUGUAAAGCACUUUAAGUUGGGAGGAAGGGCAGUAAGUUAAUACCUUGCUGUUUUGACGUUACCGACAGAAUAAGCACCGGCUAACUUCGUGCCAGCAGCCGCGGUAAUACGAAGGGUGCAAGCGUUAAUCGGAAUUACUGGGCGUAAAGCGCGCGUAGGUGGUUCGGUAAGAUGGAAGUGAAAGCCCCGGGCUCAACCUGGGAACUGCUUUCAUAACUGCCGAGCUAGAGUACGGUAGAGGGUAGUGGAAUUUCCUGUGUAGCGGUGAAAUGCGUAGAUAUAGGAAGGAACACCAGUGGCGAAGGCGACUACCUGGACUGAUACUGACACUGAGGUGCGAAAGCGUGGGGAGCAAACAGGAUUAGAUACCCGGGUAGUCC
rnacentral:rRNA from 1 species